rnacentral:miRNA from 1 species
AAAAAAAAACAAAAAAUCUC